UGCCUCGUGGUGUAAUGGUAGCACAAGAGAUUCUGGAUCUCUCUGUCUAGGUUCGAAUCCUAGCGAGGCAG
rnacentral:tRNA from 1 species